CAGCCGCCGCGGUAAUACGGAGGGUGCGAGCGUUAAUCGGAAUUACUGGGCGUAAAGCGCGCGUAGGCGGUUUGUUAAGUCGGAUGUGAAAUCCCCGGGCUCAACCUGGGAAUUGCCUUCGAUACUGGCCGACUAGAGUACGAGAGAGGGAGGUAGAAUUCCACGUGUAGCGGUGAAAUGCGUAGAUAUGUGGAGGAAUACCGGUGGCGAAGGCGGCCUCCUGGCUCGAUACUGACGCUGAGGUGCGAAAGCGUGGGUAGCAAACAGGAUUAGAUACCCUGGUAGUCCACGCCGUAAACGAUGUCUACUAGCCGUUGGGAGACUUGAUUUCUUAGUGGCGCAGCUAACGCACUAAGUAGACCGCCUGGGGAGUACGGCCGCAAGGUUAAAACUCAAAUGAAUUGACGGGGGCCCGCACAAGCGGUGGAGCAUGUGGUUUAAUUCGAUGCAACGCGAAGAACCUUACCAGGUCUUGACAUCCUCGGAACUUUCCAGAGAUGGAUAGGUGCCUUCGGGAACCGAGAGACAGGUGCUGCAUGGCUGUCGUCAGCUCGUGUCGUGAGAUGUUGGGUUAAGUCCCGUAACGAGCGCAACCCUUGUCCUUAGUUGCCAGCGUGUAAUGGCGGGAACUCUAAGGAGACUGCCGGUGACAAACCGGAGGAAGGUGGGGACGACGUCAAGUCAUCAUGGCCCUUACGACCUGGGCUACACACGUGCUACAAUGGGGCGUACAGAGGGUUGCAACCCCGCGAGGGUGAGCCGAUCCCACAAAACGUUUCGUAGUCCGGAUCGGAGUCUGCAACUCGACUCCGUGAAGUCGGAAUCGCUAGUAAUCGCGGAUCAGAAUGCCGCGGUGAAUACGUUCCCGGGCCUUGUACACACCGCCCGUCACACCAUGGGAGUGGGUUGCUCCAGAAGUGGUUAGCCUAACCUUCGGGAGGGCGAUCACCACGGAGUGAUUCAUGACUGGGGUGAAGUCGUAACAAGGUAGCCGUA
rnacentral:rRNA from 1 species